CUCCGUCUUCAACACAAUCCGCCGCCGCCUUCUCCUCCCAUCACCGUCUCGCAUCCCGUCGCUUCCGCCGUCGGCCGAUUGAUGAGUGUUUCCCGUUUCUUCGUCCGCCGUCCCUCCCCGCACUCACGCACGCGUACACCCAUCUUGCUCGCCUCAGCCCACGAACCCUAGACGCCACGGAGAUGGAGCAUCUCCGCCGCCUCGCCCAGUUCUUGCUCGCCUCAGCUCGCGGGGAUGGAGCAGGACGGCGCCACCCGUCCCCUCGCACCAUGCCCAGGACGGUGGUGCCCCGAGGCCGCAGAUCUCUUCUUUGUCGGCGCUUCCGCGGCCACGUCCCCGCUGCCGCCUCCGCGUGCGCGACCCUCAACUACGACGCGGUGGGGAGGAGGCCUGCAACGACCUUGAUGCCUGCUCCUCGACCACAACUACUGCGUCCGCAAGAAAGCCGCAUGGAUUGGGGAUAUGUACUUGGGUUUGGGUUUAAAGGGGCAAUCUUUGAGCAUUUGUAUCAACUAUCAAGGAUCUCAAGUUCACAUCGAUCGCACUAUGAUCAAGUGCAUUCCGGUGCUUUGAUGAUUGUCACAGAAGAUGUUAGCUGCAGAAGCAAUCGCUGUCUCAGCUCCAAUAUUAAAAAUCAAUGCACCUGAAUUGCGACACAAUUUUUCUCAUUUGGAACUGUGGUUAUAAGGUGUUUAAUCUGAAAGCUACGCUUUCAUGAAAUCACCAGGAUUUUGACCUCCAUACGAAAUCUGCAAGGGUAACAACAACAAAGGAAACUGGUGUAAGAUUGAGUACUAAGACUCGAAGAUGAGCUACCAUCAAGAUUAUGUCUCGACAAUCAAGUAUAGUGAUGUUUUUUACCGAACUCACAGAAGCAUAUUGUGUAUCCCAUCCAGCGUUCAACCUAAUGGACAUCGAGGGAACCACUUUGAGUAGGCAAUUGUUUGUGUGGAAAAUGCAUGGUACUAAAGCUAACCUUCCUCUGGUCCAGAUGAAAUCAAGGCAAGUGGGUCUUCUAUCUUCAAACAUCAAUUUGUUAGUUUUUCCUGGCUUCAGUGCAUCCCAUCAUAUUACUGUGUUUAAACAUAAUUGCAAUGUGCUAAUUAUUUUCUAAAAAAUUUACAGUGUAUUAAUUAAGUAAAACUUAUUUGAAGUAGAUGUAGCACGACCUUUAGGAUUUUGCACACGAACCUCACCAAUUUCGAGUAGUCGUACUUCUACAUAUCUGCUCACCAAAUAUCUGCAUGAUUAUUAUGAACGUAGUGAACUCUGAAGCUAUUUUCUUUAUUAGUCCUAAAAGAAACUAAACUAUUUGUGUGGGGCCAGAGAAGCGUACUUUCAAUACAAACUGCAAUUGCUUGGGCAAGAGAAAUCAACUCAAUACUGCAAUUUUCCAUAUGAAGUAGUAAGAGGAGGCGUACCAUUGUAAACCGAUGUAGGCUGAAGGCUAGCUGCAUCUUUGGCAUGUGGUCAAACCCGGCAAGCUGCAACUUUGUGGAGCAUCCACACUACUGCCACCACAUGCUUGCUAAAAGGCUUAAUCUGACCGUCCCUAUACAUCGUCCACAUCUUCGGCGAGCAUGUUUGAUGGCAAGCUCGGGCAACUGUUGCCGUCAUGAAAAUCACUACAUGGAUCGAUGUGCCCAUCAUGUCUGGUAGUAGAUGAUGCAUUAUUUGAGCUUGAUAGAGUAUGACUAUAUCCCACGCGGUCUUGUUUGCAUCAAAAGUGUGGCCCACCUUGGAGACACCAACCAUUUUGGUAGUGGGCAUCUCAACAGUUUUAUUUGGACCUCAUUCCCCUAAUACGCUAGUAAUUGUCUCCUUUCUCGUAUUUCUCUUAGUCUCACUCCCAUACACUUCAUGAUCUGAGAGAGGGAAUGCUAGCAGCCAUGGUGGCAGUGUCCCCUCCCAAGCUCAUCAGAAGAAUUCACAACACGCAAACGACCAAUGUAGUAAAGAAGAGGAUGAGGGGGAAUCACUGGGGACAAGCCAGGUGAGGUAGUCUUAGGAAUGAACGAGGCGGGAAAGCCGCAGGUGAUGAUGAGCUUGAUAAAGAAGCGAUUAGAGGUAGAAGACACCUCAAUCCCUAGGAAGUAGUGAAGAGGACCAAGAUCAGACAUAAGAAACCCACUAUGAUGAGCCUUCACAAAGGCAAUGUACUUAGAGUCAUCGCAGUGAUGAUCGACAUAUAGAAGGAGAAUUUGACCACGAAUUGAAAGGUGGACAAGAAGUGUAGGAUCAUGAGCACUCGCCGAAAACUUGCCGCAAUCACCACUGAGACAAAAUGCUCAAAGUGGGCACGAGGGGUUUGCUUAAGGCCAUAAAAGAGCGAUGAAGACGACAAACCAUGCCAUCAGGAAGAGAAUACCCAGGUGGUGGGUAUAUGUAGACCUCAUGCAACAGGAAGAGAAAUGAUAUCCCACAUGCCUAUUGCGCAAGAGCAACAAUCUCGUCUACAAUCGCAUGCUGCUAUUCAUGAUGAACAAAUGCGUCAUACUAAGAAGUCGUCUUGAGAAAAGCGAAGUUAGAAUAACCAAUAACCAUAGGGCCAAUAGGUAGAAGCGAGCGAGCUCGGAAGCCAUAAGUAGGCCGAGCUUUACGUGGUGCGUUGC